UUUGCUUAAUUUAUAUGUGGUAUAUAAUAUAAUAUUUACAACAGCUUAAAUUUUAGAAAACUUAAUCUCCACUGUAUAUUAAUUGAGGAUCAAUGGUGGGGAUGGAUCCAUCAGCUCUCUGUCUAAACAAAACCUGUGCCAAACCUAGACACUCUGGUUUAGUGCAGUCGUUACUUCUCUCUCUCUAAACCAAACACACAGGUUGCUUGCUUCUCUCUCUUUCUAAACCAAACACAGUGUGAAUCACAAAUCUUUUUGAACCAAACGUUCUACGGGUUCAAGCUGCUAUUUUGUCAAGCUUGAAGCCACCAUCGGCCAUCGCUCUUUUGUCUGACCAUUGAAACAUAGUCGCUCAAAAAAGAUAUCGACUUUACUUGCCCAGGUCUCAGGUGCACGAGUGCAUAUUGGCUUCACAUAGAAUUGGUGAAAUUAUUUCCUUACAAGGAGAAGCAGAGACUGCAGCAUAAGCCUUGUCUUUGGAAGACUUUUGUGUUGUGUUGUCUCGGUUCAUAGAAUUGCAUCAUUGUUCUUUGCUACAUGUUGGAUCUUCGGGUUCUCUUGGUUUUAGGUGUUGAUAACAUUGUAACUUGAUUUUUUUCAUGUGGUGCUCGAAUGGAAUAUUGGUAUGCUCUGGGUUAUUGAUCAUUGGUUAGGUAGGUGAAAGUGCUUGUGUCUGCGGAAGGAGUUGUUGAGUAGGAGAUGUUCUCUCUCUCUAAAAACUACUUGGUUUUUCUGUCUUGUUUUGGAACUAAUAUGUGGCUCUCUCUCUAAAACAAGUGGUUUUCUCUCUAAGACCUAGGUGAUUUAUAUCUGAUAUUGGGUAAUGGGAUAAGUGGUUCUCUCUCAAAAAACUGGGUGCUCUCUCUCAUGUUGGGGAGGAUAAUGACAUAAUGUGUAUAUAUGUAUUGGGUUAUUUGUUUCUGGUUUUAACUUAAA